GGUGGUUCUCAGGUGACACCCGAAUCGGUCUCCCUCCUCUCUGGUUCCGGGUGUGUCACCUGAGAACCGCA
rfam:Myotis brandtii contig205762, whole genome shotgun sequence.